UUUUUUUUUUUUUUUUUCUUUUUUUUUUUUUUUUUUUUUUUUUUUUUUUUUUCGCACAAAAUUCGUUAUAUAUACAA
rnacentral:ribozyme from 13 species